rnacentral:rRNA from 1 species
ACUCAAAUGAAUUGACGGGCACCCGCACAAGCGGUGGAGCAUGCUGUUUAAUUCGAAGAUACGCGAAGAACCUUACCUAGGCUUGACAUCCCUGGCAAAGCUAUAGAAAUAUAGUGGAGGCUAUCCAGGUGACAGGUGGUGCAUGGUUGUCGUCAGCUCGUGUCGUGAGAUGUUCGGUUAAGUCCGAUAACGAGCGCAACCCUUUUCAUUAGUUGCUAACAUUAAGUUGAGAACUCUAGUGAUACUGCCGGUGACAAACCGGAGGAAGGUGGGGAUGACGUCAAAUCAUCAUGCCCCUUACGUCUAGGGCUACAGGCGUGCUACAAUGGCCGUUACAAAGAGAAGCAAAACCGCGAGGUGGAGCUAAUCUCCAAAAACGGUCUCAGUUCGGAUUGGAGUCUGCAACUCGACUCCAUGAAGUUGGAAUCGCUAGUAAUCCUGAAUCAGAAUGUCAGGGUGAAUACGUUCCCGGGUGUUGCACACACCGCCCGU